CCUACGGGGUGCAGCAGUGGGGAAUAUUGCGCAAUGGGCGAAAGCCUGACGCAGCGACGCCGCGUGAGGGAUGAAGGUCUUCGGAUCGUAAACCUCUGUCAGCAGGGAAGAACGGUCACUGUGCUAAUCAGCAGUGAAUUGACGUUACCUGCAAAGGAAGCACCGGCUAACUCCGUGCCCGCAGCCGCGGUAAUCCGGAGGGUGCGAGCGUUAAUCGGAAUUACUGGGCGUAAAGCGCUCGUAGGCGGUAUGUCAAGUCAAGGGUGAAAUCCCCGCGCGCAACGUGGGAACUGCCUUUGAAACUGGCAAACUGGAGUGUGUGAGAGGAUAGUGGAAUUCCAGGUGUAGGAGUGAAAUCCGUAGAUAUCUGGAGGAACAUCAGUGGCGAAGGCGACUAUCUGGCACAUAACUGACGCUGAGGAGCGAAAGCGUGGGUAGCAAACAGGAUUAGAGACCCUUGUAGUC
rnacentral:rRNA from 1 species